GAUGGUUUCUGCUUAUCUCAUGCGGAUUCUUGCUAAAAGUAAUGUAAGUGGUGUUCCCAGGAUCUGAUUCUUGCAAUACUGGAGAGAACACAUGGGUCAUGAGAGCAAGAACAAAAAGAAGACAUACAGUGGGAAAGAGUUGCCCUGGAAUGUUUUCUUAACCCAAGCUCCAAAGACUUGCGUUCCCGGGAAAAGCUGUCACUCCAAAACUUGGGAAGGAAGAUAAACACAGAGUCAAAGAAGAUAGAGAAUCACAGUUGAAGUUGACUUACACAGAGUGGAUGUUGCUGAAGUUAUAAACUGGUAGGAACACUUAAAUAGCAAUUUUGAUGAAUUGCUGAAGACUGUGAACAAAGUUAAAAGUGAGAACUAGGGAUCCCUGGGUGGCGCAGCGGUUUGGCGCCUGCCUUUGGCCCAGGGUGCGAUCCUG